UCAGGAUCAACAAUCCAGACUGGCCCGGCCAAUACAUAACCAUGGAGACCAGACUCUGGUUCAGACUGCUCACCUGGAAAGUUUUACAAGAAUAUUAUUGACAGACUAAAGGAUCAUAGACACUGUACUCUGUUGGCUUUAAAUCUACUGACAUUCUGAAGCUGGGAAGUACUCAUGUUUUACACUAUCAGCUCAAUAUCACAGGAGCCAGUUAACAUAGAGGAUCAGAGUUUGAAAGGGUCACACUGGCCUCCACAGGUCCAAGUGCUGCCAGAUGAUACUUUAGGAGGAGAGCAGACCAUGACUGUGCAGUGCAAAUGCACCUGAGAAGAAAGAACAACUUGUUGGCUCCUUAUUUACCCUUGGAAGGGGUGAACAUGAAAACAUGAUCUGGCUGGAUGGUUAAGUCAUGAGAGGGUGCGGACCAUCGCACAGCUAGAAUGACUGUUGACAGGGUUGCCAGGAAAGAAGAGAGCCUACUAUGCCCACACCCAUCCCCACAGGCACCUGUGCCUCCAGAGGUCCAGAAUUCUACAGCAAAAUGACUCUCACUCUGGAAAAUAGGACUACAGCAUUGGCAUCCUCCAGUAUCCUUAAGUGCCUGGCUUUUCACCUCUGAAACCAAUUCAAAAUGUUUCAGAGCACUUCAUGGACUUAUUCCAACCCACAUCUCUGACUUCAUAUCCUCCCAUUCCUGCAUGUUUUAUAUUUCAUUUUGGCUCUUCUCCUUGCUCUUCUCAUGACUUUUGUUAGGGCGACACAAGUAAGAGAGCUAUCUGACAGAAUGGACAUUACUUAUAUAAAAUGUGGAGGACAGUUGAAACAUUUUGUGCCAUGUUUAUACUAGUAUUUCUGAAUAUGUCAUUCUGUGAGCUUACAUUCCAGAACUCAGAAUGAGGCCAUGGGCAUACUCAAUGUUGUUGCAAAGCCAGUUUCACCUGUACAGUUUCCAGACUUCACAGUAACAAUGUGGUAUAUUAUUUUUGUCUCGUCCAAAGUAGCAAGUUUCAGUUUUACAUUUGCUAUAAUGAACAAUUUAAAUACACUUUUUCCUUUAAAAUAUAUUCUUCAAGCUUGGCUUGCUCCUUAGAUCUCUGUGACAGCUGACAAACGGAGACAGUUUAAAGAAAAUGACUUGUUUUUUUCUAGUUAGAGUUUCAUAGAAUAUGUGACUGAAACUCAUGGAGAAAGUAUUUAGUGAGGGGGAUUUUUAUUUGAAUUUCUGGACUAUGCUCUAGCACAGAAAAUGAUAGCUGAAGCAGUUUGUUUCAGAAGGCUAUGAAUAACUGAAAAGGGCUGUAACGAAUGGUGAUAUUCAUCUUUAACUAUAGGUUUUUUUGUGUAAUGUCAAUGUAUAUACUAUCUGUCUGCAUGUCUAGCGACAUAACAGACUCCAGCACUGUAAACAAGAUUGCACAGUCAAACUAAUUCUUUUGGAAAUAUAGCACUUAGCAUUCAGAUGCCAUAAAGCUAUUGUGUGAACAGCUUACACUAUAUACUGUACUUCGUGUCAAUUUGAGAGAGAGCUUGUACACGUUGAACCUCUGUAGUCUGGAACCCUUGGGACCUCACCUGUGCUGAACUAGAGAA